rnacentral:tRNA from 1 species
GUUCUUAUAGUUGAAAUACAGCGGUGGCUUUUCAUGCCAUUGGUCUUGGUUAGAGUCCAGGUAAGAACC